CCAGGGCUGGUCUCCUUCAGAAUGGACUAGUUGGAUCUCCUUGCAGUCCAAGGGACUCUCAAGAGUCUUCUCCAUAGCACUUGUGUUUGUUUUUGUUUAAUUUAUGGACAAAGACUUACAGACAAGUGUGAAAGUAAAUCCUCUUUUGCAACCCACAACUCAUUGUUCAGUAUGAGUUUUGAUACAGAUAAGAAGGAACAUGAUCCAUAAAAUGGAUGUGUAAUGAUGAGCAUAAAGAUUGCUUCCAGGGCUGUAAAGCUAAAUAAACUUCUAAAUUACCAGCUAUAUUGAUCCUAGUACUCAGUUUUAAUGUUGACAUAAAACAAAGAUGGGCUUCUUUUUUUAGGCUUUUAUCUUCGGAAUACAGUGUCUGGAUUUUGCAAAGAUAUGUCUAAUGCUUUAGGUAUUGGCAUAUCCCAAUGAUCUGUGUCAAGUUUUAGGGUGUGAUAACUUAGGAAUUAAUAUGAUUUGAACUUGGAUCCUAUAGUAAACUGCUUGAGGAAAUUGGGUCUUUGAAGAUUACAGGUGGCAAACUUUGAAGUGAACUCCACUGAAGAUCUAAGAGGCCCAACUAAAACAACGUGGCAGGCAUCACAGCUGUGGAUUGAACAGAACUUUUUGAAAGGGCUACCUUGAAGAUGACAACCUUGGAGGAGCUAUGGUGAUUGGCAGUGGAAAGAAUCAGGACGUGUGAAAAAUCCUUAAAAAUUUAUUGACUUAAAUAACUUUGCCUAUGUUAUGAAUAAAAAGAAACCUUUGUGCAGAAA